rnacentral:lncRNA from 1 species
AAAGGGAACGGGUUUCUCCUUCUUGACUCUGACUUCAAUGUCAAAAGCAGGUGGGACAAACCAGGACAUGGUCCUUUGUUUGGGUAUGAUUUUUGGUACCAACCUCGGUUCAAGACAAUGAUCAGCACUUCUUGGGGUGCACCUAAAGCCUUCUCCAAAGGUUUCAAUCUCCAGCACGUUGCGGAUGGCUUGUACGGAAGUCAUUUACAUAUUUAUAAAUGGCCUGAAGGUGAAAUGAAGCAGAUUAUUGACCUCGGAAAUACCGGUCUCUUACCUCUUGAGGUAACAUUACUCCAACAUAAAUCAUGAUGAUCUGUUUUAGUAACCAAGAAUGUAAUCUAAUCUGGUUGUUUUUAUGUGGUGGUUGCAGAUUAGAUUCUUGCAUGAUCCUUCUAAAGAUACAGGGUAUGUCGGGAGUGCCUUGUCGAGUAAUAUGAUAAGGUUUUUCAAGAACAGUGAUGACACAUGGAGCCAUGAGGCAAGUGAAAUUUCUGAAUCUUCUUCUUUUUUUCUUCUCUCAAAUUUAUGAUUAACAUGUGAUUCAAACUGGUGUUGUUUUAGGUGGUUAUAUCGGUUAAACCUCUGAAAGUUGAAAACUGGAUUCUUCCAGAAAUGCCGGGGCUUAUCACCGACUUCUUGAUCUCACUCGAUGAUCGGUUUUUCUACUUUGUGAACUGGCUUCAUGGAGACAUCCGUCAGUACAACAUCGAAGACCCUAAAAACCCGGUCUUAACGGGACAAAUUUGGGUCGGAGGAUUACUACAAAAGGGCAGUCCUUACAAGGCUGUUGGAGAAGAUGGCAACACUUACCAAUUUGACGUUCCGCAGAUCAAGGUUUGUACCAAAAUGUAAUCUUUUAAGGGUUUCAACUAUGUUUAAACAAUUUGCAUUCUAUUGAAACUGAUUUCUGAUUUCAGGGGAAGUCUCUACGAGCAGGACCUCAGAUGAUCCAACUAAGCCUCGACGGGAAAAGAUUGUACGCGACAAACUCGCUAUUUAGCGCAUGGGACCGUCAGUUUUACCCGGAACUCAUGGAUAAAGGCUCACACAUAAUUCAAAUCGAUGUUGACACAGACAAAGGUGGUCUCACCAUAAACCCUGACUUCUUUGUGGACUUUGGUGAUGAACCAGACGGUCCUGCACUAGCCCACGAGAUGAGAUAUCCCGGUGGAGACUGCACUUCCGAUAUCUGGAUCUGAAUUUGGCUCCUUAAAAGAGUAAGCUGGAUAUGUGAUUCAUUCUUAUGUCUUUGUAGAGUGUAAUAAAUAAGAAGUGGCUAGUUUCGUGAUCCAGACAAUAAUAAAAGUUGUUCUCCUCCUUCCAUACAAUAAAUCUUUCUACUUGUACAUGUUAUCUCUGUCUUUUGUGUAACCGAAUUGAACCGAUCACAACCAGGUCCAAGUAUGGACCAAGUAAAAACUACGUCAGAUACAAUGUAUCUGGUCAAGAUCUGAUUUGUUAUUGUUAUCUUCUUGUUGUUAUUUUGUUAACGGAUACGAUUCUGUAAUUGUUUAUUUUAGCCAUUUUGUGCAUGGAGACGUAUUUUAAUUUAAAAUACAUCUCUCUUAACUUACUAAUUGUUGCAGUAAUCUGAAUUAGUAAUUUAAUAUUUUUUUCUUAAACAAAGCCGUACAUAAUUACAAGGAUUAGUUGAGUCAUUAUAUAAGUUCACUGGCAUUAUAUAGUUGAGUCAUUAUAUAAGUUCACUGGCAUAAUUACAAUUCAAUAUUUGUCUUCACAAAGAGAGAGAGAUGGCGACGGAAACGGAAGUGGUGGUUGCUCCGGUAAGCAACGGUGGAAGCAAAGGAUGUUGCAAGUACGGUGGUCCUGGUUACGCGACGCCUCUAGCCGCUAUGUCUGGUCCGAGUGAGAAACUUAUCUACGUCACCGCCGUCUACACCGGUACACAUUUGAUUUGAUUCUAUCUGUUUCUUGUUAUCAAUCUCAGAAUCCAGAUCGAAUGUUUUUAAGUAAGAAUCUUUACUUUUAAGAAUCUUGAAUAUUCCAGAUCGAAUCACUAAGAGCUUGAGAGAUUUCUCUGUUUCUAUUUUCUUGAUUUGAUCUGUUUAUCAAGGAGUCUUUGUGUUUUUAGUGAAAAUCUUUGUGUUGAUUGUGUUCUCUGUAUUCUGAUACCUUUUUGAUUGGGGUUUUGAAGGAACUGGAAUAGAUAAACCGGACUAUCUGGCGACGGUGGAUGUGGAUCCGAGCUCGCCUUCGUAUUCAAGGGUUAUUCAUAGAUUGCCAAUGCCUUUUGUUGGUGAUGAGCUUCAUCAUUCUGGUUGGAACUCUUGUAGUUCUUGCCAUGGUGAUGCUUCUGCUGAUAGACGUUAUCUUGUGUUACCGUCUCUUAUGUAAAGAUUCUUCAGCCUUUUUCCAUUUUCUCUUAUAUCUCUGUUAAGUUUUGUUUAAUUGACUGAAUUUUCUUGUUUGGAUGAAGAUCUGGUCGUAUUUAUGCGAUUGAUACUAAGGAAAACCCGAGGGCUCCGUCUUUGUAUAAGUAUGUUGAUCCUAAAGAGAUUGCUGAUAAGACUGGAUUGGCGUUUCCACAUACGGCUCAUUGCCUUGCUACGGGUGAGAUCUUGGUGUCGUGUCUUGGGGACGAAGAGGGGAACGCCAAGGGGAAUGGGUUUCUUCUUCUUGACUCUGAUUUUAACAUCAAGAAUAGGUAUCUUAUUGCAUAACAAAUCAUUCUGUUUUAGUUUCUUAUCACUAUUAGUCCUAUACCAUUGUUGGUGAUUGUUACUCUAAAAGUUAAACAAAAACUGUGAAGUUUAUCACAAGAAAGGAUAGGAUAUCGCCAAUGCGAUGACUUGUGAUGAAAUGUCGUGUGUUCUUGUGCAUUUAAAUGGAAUUGAUGUGUAUGUGUUUUGGGGGAUGUUUCAGGUGGGAAAAACCAGGACAUAGUCCUUUGUUUGGGUAUGAUUUUUGGUACCAACCUCGGCACAAGACCAUGAUCAGCACAUCUUGGGGAGCACCUAAAGCCUUCUCCAAAGGUUUCAAUCUCCAACACGUUGCGGAUGGCUUAUAUGGAAGUCAUCUACAUGUUUAUAGUUGGC